AGCCGCGGUAAUUCCAGCUCCAAUAGCGUAUAUUAAAGUUGUUGCAGUUAAAAAGCUCGUAGUUGAACCUCGGGGUCUACCCAUUGGUCAGGCUUAAUUGUCUGCACUGGUGAGAUGGAUCUCUACCUUCUGAGGAACUUUCAUGCCAUUUAUUUGGUGUGAUGGGAAAUCAGGACUGUUACUUUGAAAAAAUUAGAGUGUUUAAAGCAGACUAUCGUCUGAAUACAUUAGCAUGGAAUAAUGAAAUAGGACGGACUGAUUCUAUUUCGUUGGUUUCUAGGAUCACCGUAAUGAUUAAUAGGGAUAGUUGGGGGCAUUAGUAUUCAAUUGUCAGAGGUGAAAUUCUUGGAUUUAUUGAAGACUAACUACUGCGAAAGCAUUUGCCAAGGAUGUUUUCAUUAAUCAAGAACGAAAGUUAGGGGAUCGAAGACGAUCAGAUACCGUCGUAGUCUUAACCAUAAACUAUGCCGACUAGGGAUCGGAUGAUGUUAAUUUUUUAAUGACUCAUUCGGCGCCUUACG
rnacentral:rRNA from 1 species